rnacentral:lncRNA from 1 species
CUUUAUUCUCAAGGAACUAGUAGGCCACAGGGAAAAUGCACCCCUUUCCACCUCUUCCCAGGUGACAAGGCCUUAAAUACCAAACCAAGUGUCCAGAAACUGAGCUUCAGUUCCCUGAUGGCUGCUGAACAACAGAAGGGGCAGUACAACACUGGCUUGAUAUUCAUCUAUGAACCAAUUUAAUUUUAAUUUAAAAAUGACUUCUGAUCUGGCAGAUGAUUUGGGUUCUAGAAAGAAAUUGUGCCAGGCAUGGUGGCUCAUGCCUGUAAUCCCAGCACUUUGGGAGGCUGAGGUGGGAGAAACCUGUGAGCUCAGGAAUUGGAGACCAGCCUGGGCAACGUAGCAAGACUUCAUUUCUACAAUAAUAAUAAUAAAAAAAGGCCAGGUGCGGUGGUUCACACCUGUAAUCCCAGCACUUUGGGAGGCCACGAGACAGGUGGAUCAUGAGGUCAGGAGUUCGAGACCAGCCUGGCCAACGUGGUGAAACCCUGCCUCUACUAAAAACACAAAAAUUAGCUAGGCGUGGUGGCGGGAGGCUGUAAUCCCAGCUACUAGGGAGGUUGAGGCAGGAGAAUCACUUGAAUCUGGAAGGCAGAAGUUGCAGUGAGCCGAGGUCACACCAUUGCACUCCAGCCUGGGCAACAAGAGCGAAACUCUGUCUCAAAAAAAAAAAAAAAAGGGCCGGGCAUGGUGGCUCAUGCCUGUAAUCCCAGCACUUUAGGAGGCCGAGACGGGUGGAUCAUGAGGUCAGGAGUUCAAGACCAGCCUGACCAACGUAGUGAAACCCAGUCUCUACUAAAUAUACAAAAAAAAUGAGCUGGGCGUGGUAGUGAGUGCCAGUAGUCCCAGCUACUUGGGAGGCUGAGGCAGGAGAAUUGCUUGAACCCAGGAGGUGGAGGUUGAGGUUGCAGUGAGCCGAGAUCAUGCCACUGCAUUCCAG